rnacentral:rRNA from 1 species
UACGAAGGGUGCAAGCGUUACUCGGAAUUACUGGGCGUAAAGCGUGCGUAGGUGGUGAGUUAAGUCUGUCGUGAAAGCCCCGGGCUCAACCUGGGAACUGCAUUUGUGACUGCAUCGCUGGAGUGCGGCAGAGGGGGAUGGAAUUCCGCGUGUAGCAGUGAAAUGCGUAGAUAUGCGGAGGAACACCGAUGGCGAAGGCAAUCCCCUGGGCCUUACCUGACGCUGAGGAGCGAAAGCGUGGGGAGCGAACAGG